rnacentral:rRNA from 1 species
AUGUCCGGAGCGGGAGGCAGGUGGAUGGUCCCCUCCGUCACGGAGGGACACGUCAAGAAGCUGAGGAGAGUCGGAUACUUGCCCGACGACAUCGCGCACCGGCUCCCAGAGGAGGGGCAGCUCAUCCCCACCCCCAGGCCCCAUGAGAGGGUGGUGUUCCUUACCCAUUUCCUCCGCGGACUGGGAUUUCCUCUCCACCCAUUUGUCCGGUGGCUCAUGUUCUACUACGGCCUGGAUUUCCAUGAUCUGACCCCGAACUUCAUCCUCAACAUCUCGGCGUUUAUCGUCGUGUGUGAGGCCUUCCUCCACAUCAAGCCCCACUUCGGCUUAUGGCUGAAGACUUUCAUUGUCAAGCCGAAGGUAGUGAGCGGCCGCCAGGUGGAGUGCGGAGGCGAUAUGGUGGGCAAGAUGCCCAACGUCACAUGGCUCGAGGGCUCCUUCGUGGAGACAAUAAAGGGGUGGCAGUCGGGGUGGUUCUACAUCACCGAGCCACGUGACCCUACGUGGGUAGCGGCCCCCGAAUUUUGA